CGCACGGGUGAGUAACACGUAUGCAAACCUGGGCCCGGCCACAGGGGGAUAACCCGCGGAAACGCGGCCUAAUACCCCGUGACGCCACCGGAGGGCAUCCUCCGGUGGCCAAAGGAGCGAUCCGGUGGCGGAUGGGCAUGCGGCGCAUUAGCUAGACGGCGGGGUGACGGCCCACCGUGGCGACGAUGCGUAGGGGUUCUGAGAGGAAGGCCCCCCACACUGGGACUGAGACACGGCCCAGACUCCUACGGGAGGCAGCAG
rnacentral:rRNA from 1 species